UACAGAGGGUGCGAGCGUUAAUCGGAAUGACUGGGCGUAAAGGGCGCGUAGGCGGUGGAAUAAGUGGUAGGUGAAAGCCCCGGGCUCAACCUGGGAAGUGCCUAUCAAACUGUUUGACUGGAGUGCAGGAGAGGGCAGUAGAAUUUCCGGUGUAGCGGUGAAAUGCGUAGAGAUCGGAAGGAAUGCCGGUGGCGAAGGCGACUGCCUGGCCUGACACUGACGCUGAGGCGCGAAAGCGUGGGGAGCGAACAGG
rnacentral:rRNA from 1 species